GUUUGAACUUAUUAUUAUAAACCAUUUGAGGAGGGAAACAUAAUUGUAAAUUAGUGUAUUUUGAAUGUAUUCGGAAUAUUCGGCCAUUAUCUGAAAAACCAAACAGGCCACCAUUAUAUAUUCAGCAAACUUCAAGGUUUCAGCCCGCAUUUCUGCUUGCCUGAGAGACAUCCAGAACUGGAUUUACAACCACCAUCUAAAGCUCAAACCUGGUAAAAUGGAAAUUAUCUUCAUUCCUAAUCUAGGAAUUCCAGCGAAUCCGUUCCUUUCUCACCCCCUACUCAAUCCAGCUUCUGGUCCAAGCGAUGGUUUUGUCCCGCCUGGACUACUGCAACUCUCUCUUGGCUGGCCUUCCGGCAUCUGCCAUCAGACCGCUCCAGCUCAUCCAGAAUGCAACAACUCAUCUGGUCUUUGACCUUCCCAGACACUCCUAUGUCAUCCCACUGCUCACUUCCCUCCACAUCAAAUUAUAAAAAUUGGUACAAGCUUUCCAGACAGUUAACGGGACAGCCCCAACAUACCUCCAAAUGAUCAUCAGACCCUACACGCAUGCCAGCCCUCUCUGUUCAGCCACCACAGGACACCUGCCGCCUCCCCCUCUCUGCAAUUCCACUUUCCAGUGACGACUGCUGUCUGUUCUGGCUCCAUGGUGGUGAAACGACCUCCCCAUAGAGGUCAGAACAGCAGAGACCUGCAACCACCUUCAAGCGCAGACUGAAGACGUACCUCUUCAAGCUACACCUCUCCCCACCCCUCCCUGUAAUCUCUAAUUGUGAGCUGUUAUUUUUUAGUUUAUUUGUAUGUAUUAUUACUAGGGUUGGGUUUUAUUGCUACUUUUGCUUGUCUAUGUAAGCUGUUUAUUGUUGUUCAUACAUAAGUAUUGUUUAAAAACGGUUUUAUCGCUAUAAUCCAUUGUCAUAUUAAUCAACAAGGCCCAAGUCCUUAUCUUUGUUGUAUUCUUAGAACUUGAAACUGUGCUUCCCUCUAGGGUCUCUCAGUGCACUGGUCCCUGGUUAUGGGUAUGCACAUUGCUGUACAUCACUCUGGGUAAGAAUGUCUGCCAAAUGCCUAAAAUGUUAUGUAAUACCAAAUUUCAACCUUAUCGGUCAAAAUUGGCAUGUAAUCAUAGUCAUAUCACAUAAUCAUAGACUACAUAUGUUUACCAAGUUUGGUGACGAUCAGCUAUAGGGUUCACAAGUUUCAGCUGUUUUAGAAAAAAUGGCCAUGCCCCCAAACAAUUAGUUGACCUGUCAUGGACUGUCAUUACAGUUUGUCACAUCAAAAAAGAAAAUGAUAACUUUUAUCCGGAUUGGUCCCAGCAUACUCUAUAUCAAAUUUGGUGAAGAUUAGAUGUUUUUGAAUAAAUGUAAAAGGGCAGAAAUAUGUGGGAAUAUACAUUUUGUGUGGCAUAAGCAAUUGAAUCUGGAGUGGUUGUGUUACAGCGCCACCAUGGGGCUAAUAUGCAUCAUUGCAAUAACUGGAGUUGUGGUGGAGUAGCUGAACCUACCUGCCAAGUUUUGUAGCUCUACAAUUUGCAGGUUUUGCUGCCUAUUCACUUUUACCAAACAAAAAUAAUAAUAAUAAUAAAAAGAACAAAAACAAUAAGGUUCCAGCACUUUGUGCUUGGACCCCUAAUAAUAAUAGUAAUACAGUAUCUUUAUUACCAGUCAUGUAACAAUUUAUAACAAUGAUGGCUUGCUUUUAAGGCUUUUUUAAAAUGAUGCAGAUUUUAUUGAUAUUUGAUUUCAAUUCAAAUUGCAAAAAGGAUUUAGAGCGAACUUGUAGCCUAUGCGCUUUAUUUCUCAUUCAUCCUCUCCACCCCCCUCAAUCCGUUGGGCUGCUUUGAAUCUUUCAAGCAGAAAACUGCAGCAACUACUUUCACAUAAGCUGUACUCUCAUGCGGAAUGCAUGCACUGUCCUGUAUCAUUCUCUCAAUAUAGCAGUAAGGACCAUAUACUGUUAAAACCUUUAUUCUAAUUGAAAAUAUGAAUGACUUCAGGGCAGAUCAGAGAAAGUCUUGCGGGGAGGUGGGCCAGGCUCCUUUGUUUCUUGUUCCUUUCCCUUGUCCUCAAACAUCAAGAUUCUGUGUGUGUGUGUGAGUAAGAGAGAAAGAAAAAAGAGAAUAUAUAUUUAUAGGAGUAAUACAAAUAGUUAAUAUGUUUGUAGUGAUAAAACAGAAGCACAUAUCUACUCCACACUGAUACUGAAAGUUUCAGCCCAGUCCAACUCUGGCCUUGAAUAUAACAGCUAUACACUUGGAGCAGCAUUGAAGCUUGAUACAAAGUGUAGUAGAAAAACUUCCUCUGUUGAAAAUCUUUUAUAUCUCCUAUAAAGAAACGCUUCAUAUUUAUAUCCAUUUGCAAAGAGGUUUAGUCUUUGUCUCAGUCAGUAUAAUGUUCUAACACCACUCAUUUACUGGAUAUUUUCUCUGUCUGAGAAAGUUGCUUGUGGAUAGAUUAUUGCUCCUGGCAAUGGAUGUUUCUGAUACGGAAACUCACAGUUUCAGUAUGGCAUUCCUCUUGCCCAGCAUCAUGCUCACAAAAUCUGUAUAGCUGAUUGUGUCAUGUGAAGUUCCUCCCACUAUCUCUGACAUCAUCUUCUUCAGAUCCAGGUGAGUCUUGGCCACUCCCAGCUUCUCCAGCAUGCGCUUGAGUCCCAUCAUGUCUAAUGGAGCGUGGUAGCAAGAUAAAUGCAAGCACAAUGAGCAAGAAGGAUGGUGAAUAUGGAAAGGUAGCACAUUGUUUAAGCUGUAUAUGGCAAUUAUAUUUCACUAUGUUCAUUUGCUCAAGGUUGAAUGAUAUCCUUGCUGAAAAUGUAGCAGGAUUGUUUGAUGUUGCAUUGUAUUAUUUUUCAUUCCAGGACAUUCCUGAACUGAGCAGUAACAUUAAAUGUGAUUAAAUAUGUUGAAUGUAGUGAUUUCCCAUACGCAAGUAAUGGGAGUAUUAGAUUUCCCGGGAUAGCUUUGGUUGAGAAAGUGAUAAGGAUGGAUACAUGAUUUUGUAUAGUGCUGACUGGUGGCAGUUUGAAAAUGUACUUUGCUGCAUUGUCUCCGUACAUUUUAGUACAAAAUAUACAAGGUAAUCUAUAAUUAAAGUUCAAGUUUUCCACAAUCAAA